GUUGAAACAAUGGUUCCCGUACAAUCACCAAAUUUAAGCAACAUCGAGCCUGAUCAGUACCUCGAUGGGUGACUACUUGGGAGUACCAGGUGCUGUA